AACCUAGGCCCAUAAACUGGGUCGGGGACCGUGUCUGGUGGGUAGUUUGACUGGGGCGGUCUCCUCCUAAAGAGUAACGGAGGAGCACGAAGGUUGGCUAAGCAUGGUCGGACAUCAUGCGGUUAGUGCAAAGGCAUAAGCCAGCUUGACUGCGAGAGUGACGGCUCGAGCAGGUACGAAAGUAGGUCUUAGUGAUCCGGUGGUUCUGAAUGGAAGGGCCAUCGCUCAACGGAUAAAAGGUACUCCGGGGAUAACAGGCUGAUACCGCCCAAGAGUUCAUAUCGACGGCGGUGUUUGGCACCUCGAUGUCGGCUCAUCACAUCCUGGGGCUGAAGUAGGUCCCAAGGGUAUGGCUGUUCGCCAUUUAAAGUGGUACGCGAGCUGGGUUUAGAACGUCGUGAGACAGUUCGGUCCCUAUCUGCCGUGGGCGUUGGAAGAUUGAGAGGGGUUGCUCCUAGUACGAGAGGACCGGAGUGAACGCACCACUGGUGUUCGGGUUGUCAUGCCAAUGGCAUUGCCCGGUAGCUAAGUGCGGAAGAGAUAACCGCUGAAAGCAUCUAAGCGGGAAACUUGCCUCGAGAUG
rnacentral:rRNA from 1 species